CAUCUCUCCUCCCUCUUUCAACCACGACACAGGCGGCGCCGCCACCAUACUCGUGGGGCAGUCAGAGGAGGAACUAAUCCAACCGAGGCGCCACGAGGGGAUAGGCGAGCAGACCCAUCCCUCCCGAGUCAUCCUACCGACCUCAACCUUGGGCGGAUCCUAGGUCCGCAACCACCACCGGAUCGCAGGUCCUCCACGCCAAUGGAAAUCCUUGUCCAAUCGCUGGCUGUUGUUCGUCUCGCCAACGGGGAAGAAAGGAAGUUGUUACUUGCACAUGCUGGUCGACUGUCAGUUUAGGGGUGGACACCAACUACAAGCAGUCGUAUCGAUUUCUUAUUCAAGACAUGGAACAACCGGUAGACUCUGCUCAAUUCUUUUCUGCACUAAUGCGAGGAUGAUGAUGAGUUCUGCAUGAAACAAAGUUUAAUUGGUGUUCAGCACAAUUCUGGUCAAAUGAUUCCGGCGAAUAUUUUGGCUGGUUCUCAUAUUUUGGUUCAAGGAAUUUUUCAAUCUACAACGGCUGCUAGCCAGUGGUUGAAAGAUUGUCUACCAAAUAUGUGUACUGCAAUGAUUAUCUUCAUUCAGAGGUUCAGAUAGAUGGAGCCUGACACUCUCCACCCUCAAGAACCACUUCGGUGCCGCCACACCCGGCAGCGACAAGUUCGGUGGCCUCUUCUCCGCCGACACCGUCGACCAACUCGCCCUCAGAGUUCCCCACAUUCAACGCAUGUUUUCCCGGUGGCAGUUUGAUGAAUUCCAGAAGGCGGCCAAGGAGAUGGUGAACCACAAGAAGGAGACGACCACGCUCUCCUUCAUCUUCGACAAUGGCGUCAUCGUCGCGGCCGAUUCCUAGGCCAGCUUGUGCGGGUACAUAUGUAAUCCUGCACCUCUUUUUCAUGGCAUCAUACAAGUCUCUUGUAUUACAAUAUUUGCACUAUACACAUCCUGACGGUUUAGUGGAAUGCUUUCUUCAAAUUCUCUGGCAAGGUGCUUCACACAUAGAUAGAAUGCUUAUUAUUAGGUGGUGGUUCAGUUGGUUUAAAGGUGAAUGGUGUAUAAGAAGCUCACUUGUUGGUUGGUACAUAGUAAUUUUAUUUCUUCCAGUAAGAGAUCUUUGACAACUGUCAAAUUCUGUUUGGUACUUGCACAUGUAAGAGGCAAUGGCAGCAAUGUUUCUUGUAUUAUAGUAUUUGCACUAUACCCAUCCUGUAUAAACUGUUUUAAUGGGAAUGCAUUCUUCA